AUGCAAGGUCCGAGAGGUUUGACAACAGAAUACGUAAGAAACUUUUUGAUCUUCUCCUUAACUGGAGUGAUGAAUCUGGCAGCUCAUGGGGGCAGGAAGGCGGCACUGAUUAUCGCCGUGAACUUGAGCGAUAUAAAGCCACUCGAACAUAAUAGGUCAAGGGAAUCACUCGACAAGCUUGCAUUUGACAGGGAAAUGGCUGAGCAGUUGGAAGCCAUCAAUUGGGCUUCCAUGCAUGCUAUUGCUUCUUUGCUUUAUGGUCCUUGUUUUGAUGAUAAUGCUAGAAAGCUGCCAGGUCGUGUAAUAUUGUGGAUCAAUAGUUUUGUUCGGGGAACCAGCUCUGAGAGCACCUUUUGGGCAUUCACCAGUAGACCCUCGAACACCAUCAUACUCAAAGCAUACCAAUGGAGGACGCUUUGGUGGAAAGGACAAACAAAAGGCUAG
rnacentral:rRNA from 1 species